AAAAGGCCUUGCAUUGAUUUAUUCAUAGAUUGAUAAUGGAUUGAGGACAACACACAUGAUAACGAUGGACUCAGGACCACGUCCAUGAAGAUGGUGGACUCAGUACAAUACGAAUGAUUGAUAAUGGAUUGAGGACAACAGACAGGAAGAUGAGGACAACACACAUGAUAAUGAUGGACCUAGGACCACGUCCAUGAAGAUGGUGGACUCAGUACAAUACGAAUGAUGGAUAAUGGAUUGAGGACAACAGACAUGAAGAAGGAGAUGGACCCGGGAC